rnacentral:lncRNA from 1 species
UUCCAGGUGAAACCAGAGAGAGCUUGACCUCAAUGUGGGUACCGACGGUCUAAUUUCCUGAUGUUUAGAGGAGGACAUGUAAGAGGGACUGCUGGACUCUGCAGAGGGAGAAGGAUGCGCUGAGACAUUCCAUUCCAACUCUCUCACAAAGCUACACAUGAAUCCCUCAGAGCCAGGAGUUGCACAUAAAAAGUAACUCAGCCACCAUUACCAUCAUCGCCAUCAUCACCAUUACCCCGAGAGAGGAGUAUCUGCUCAAUGUCCUGUAAUGCACAAAGCAGCUUUUACAGCCGUUAUCUUAUUUGAGCUUCAUAAUCACCCUGUAAAGUAGGUGCAGCAGGGCUUAUUCCCUGCUCACCUCCCCUUUUGAGGAUGAGAAAACUGCAACGCCAGGAGAAGUGACUUGCCCACGGCCAUCCAGCGGGUAGUAGAGCAGACACAGGACUAGAACCCAGGCCUUCUCACUUCGGCCCAGUGUCUUUCAAUGACGGCUCGGAAAGCUGUUGCCUUACCAAGAGCACCGAGGGGAAUGGGUGCACUGGGAAGGUGCUCUCCUAGGUGGAGACUACCUUAGUUCAGGCUGAGGACAGAGGAGCAGAGACCCUGUUCCGCAAUGAAGGCCUGCCAAUGUUCUGAUGCCUUUGGGGUUGCUGAUGCUCCUCAUUGCACCAAGAGGAGCAACUGAUUUUCUGAUUUUGUGGUUGGCUUACCCCGUUGAUUGCAAUUGAGCUGAAUCUUUAAAUUGAGCUUGCCAGAAAAACUGGUACCAAUUAAAGAUGAGCCUUCUGCUCUCCAUGGCUGGCUGGGGUUUAGAGGCCUCAGGGCAG